CUAAUAGUAGCUUAAAAUUUAAAGCAUAAGAUUCUUAAUCUUAGUAUGUUUAGAUAAGAAACCUAUUAGC
rnacentral:tRNA from 1 species